CCGCCCCUUCCGGGAGCUGGCGCGCGGGGCCUCCGGAGCGUAGGUCAGAGGUUCCUCUCCGCCAGGACUAAUAUCUGCUGAGAGCCUUCCAGGUGCUCAGCCAAGUGCUGUGACGAAACGAAGGUGAAAUAAGGUGAGCCAACAUGCAGACAUGUUAUAAUCUCAGAGGGGAGAUAAGCCUAAUAACUGAUAUAAAACAGUGUCAUGGAAGAACUGCAUGAUGCCUUGGGGGCCACAAGGAACAAGUGCCAUCAGGUAGCAAUGCCCACAGAAGGUUUCAUGGAGGAGGUGAUGUGUGAACCAGGCCUUGGAUAAGUAACAUUAUAAUGGGCAGGUUGAGGGGAUGGAAGAGGACAAGAAACAGGCCAAAAGUAUGGAGUGCCCAUGGAUUGAUCGAUAAGGUGAUGACAAUCAGGGCAGACUUCAAGGUUAUGAGUAAUCAAGGAAGACAAACCAUCUCAAAGGGGUAAAGAAGAGCAGCAAUAGACAGAGCCCUUCUCCCUGCCCUGAAUCCAGGGGAGAGAAAGAGUGGCCUGCCCUAAACAGGGCUUCAAGCUAAUUUGUAUUGUGAUAGGAAGCUCUGGUGUCAGCUCGGGCAGGAAAGUGGAAAGUUAGAGAAUGUAAAAUAACUUGUUCACUGUAGAAAAAGCAUCUUAGAGAUCAUGCAGGUCCCAGGCACAGACAUCCACAAAAGCCCACUUAAGAUGAGGGAGGGAUCUAUUGGAAGGAUAUGGGGAUAUCUCACAGAAUACCAUCACAGAAAAUACAGCCAAGCCUCACAGGGACUGGAACAAGGGCCUGGAAAAACAGGAACAGUGUUCGUCUCAUCCUCCCUGGGGCCUCGCCACGUUUUGUCUCUUGGUCCCUGCAUGUUUCUGGGGCAAGCCCUGUUAUUUGACUGCCUCCCUUCUUUUUUGCUGCCCUCUACUACAGCUGGAUACAUUGUUACUUUUCCAGCUCUUAAAGCUAAGGUGGUCCUAGGCUAGAUUCUGGCCUUGAGAUAAAGAAAUCUAGGGUUUCUUUUGACCUCUAGGAAAAGUUUUUGCUUUUCUGAUAAAAGGGAGAGAUAGGCCUUGCCCUUUCUUCUGCUCUGAACCCCAGAGUUGUGCUUAGAGUGACAGUAGUGUCUUGUGACCAUGGGAAAACACCUUGAGGUCUAAACGACAGCAGUCUGAGAACAGAAAACCUAGGCUGCUCACCUCUGCCAGCAACCACCUACACCUGGGCUUUCAGAUUGCAUGAGGAAAACAACCCCUCAUGCAUGUGAGCAGUUUGUGCUUGCACCUGAAUGCGUUCCAUCUGACACGCAUUCUCUGCAUGGACAUGUCCAUGGCAGAAAACUACUGCCUCAAGCCCAGUUCUCCAUGACUUCCCAUUUCAGGAAUCCCACCAACUAACUACAGUCUCUUUGUCCCAAGUCCAGAUUCUUGAGACUCUAAUGUUCCCAACUUUGGUGAGGUGCCCAAGCCUGGUGCUGUGUUAGAGGACAAAAUCCCACGUUCCACUGAACGUUCAGGAGGAACGAGAGAGGGAACUAGGCGGCAGGACUAUGCGUGAGCAGGACAGGACAGCACAUUGAAUGAUGUCUGCUCCAACGAGAAGCAGGUAGGGGAAGAGGGUCCACACACCAGAGACAACACCCAAGCAGAUGACUGCUUCUUCUUCCCCUUUCUGCCCCAUAGUACUGCUCUCUCAGCUUGCUUCCCCUUAAAUCACCUGUGCCAGGAGGACCAUCCUAGUAGUCAGAUGCCAUAAUCAGAGUGUGUGGCCUUCACAGUGUCAACAGCUGGACUCAAAGGCAUAAAAUGAAGCAGGCAUCCAGGUGAGCCUGGCAUCAGUCCCUGGAAACUUUCCCCGGGGACCACUGCAUGCUCUGCAGCCAGCAGCCCAUCAUGAACACAGACCCAAGUGGGGACCUGACUUUGAAAGCCCUCUGGACCCAAGAAUCCACAACUUGGAAUAGCAAUCAGCAUGAAGCUGGCUUAGAUCCACUUUUGAGAGAAAAGUGAAUUUAUUUUUAUCAGUGUCUUAAUUACUUGAACUCAAAAAAGCAAAAAUGUCCAUCCAACCCAACAGUUUAGAAAUAAAAUGUUAACACAAGAAGUUGCUUCCAAAACAUAUAAUGGAAGAGAAUUUCAUCAAAUGUCUUUCUUGUGCCUGGAGUAUGAAAGUUAUACAAAAUAUUUUCACAUGACCAAAUCAUAAAAGCUACUUCUGAAUCUAAGUCCCAUACAGAGACAAAUUUUAAAGGUUAUAUUAAGUAGUAACUGCAACCCUCUAGGGAAAUGUUUUAGGAAAAAGGGAAUGACUAGAAAAGUCAUGGUCUGAAAAUUAUUGUAUGGCAUUUUAUCGCUGGCUACUACCUAUCUCUACAGCUGUUGACUGAUUGAUAACACACCAUGUGAGUAAUUUCCAGCUUUUUAAGCUUCGGGGUGAAGAUAACCUUUUGCCAGGUUUUAUUUAUUUAUAUUACAUUGGUCCUCCUAUUUGUGCUACAUUUCUCACCUACACUACAUAAGAUUCACCACAUAAGAUUCUCUGCACACUCUGUAUUCGUGGACCAUAUUCACAAAAAACCCAAAUUUGUAGGUUGGCAGUUAUCUGACUCUGUUCAGGCUGCUAUAACAAAACACCAUAGACUGGAGGGUUAUAAACAACAGAAAU